rnacentral:rRNA from 1 species
GACAGAGGGUGCAAACGUUGUUCGGAUUUACUGGGCGUAAAGCGCGUGUAGGCGGCUUUGCAAGUCGGGUGUGAAACCUCCAGGCUCAACCUGGAGACGCCACCCGAUACUGCUAUAGCUUGAGUCCGGUAGGGGAGCGUGGAAUUCCUGGUGUAGCGGUGAAAUGCGCAGAUAUCAGGAGGAACACCAGCGGCGAAGGCGGCGCUCUGGGCCGGUACUGACACUGAGGAGCGAAAGCGUGGGGAGCAAACAGG